CGAAUCAAGAGAGCGGCGGCCAGUCGGCGCGACUCACUUCAGAGAACGACUCCGUUGUGGGAUUCGAAGGAUUUGCCUGUAGAAGGAUUCUAGGAGUCGCCGGUCGGAGGCGAAGUAAUCUUAACUUCCCAUCGUUUGCUUUGUGGAAACCUAGACCUAAGAAUAUGCUGCUUGACUAGAAACAACAGAGCCUCAAGAUUGGCGAUGGGAUCAGUCAGUCUUUCACUUUCUUUUGCGAGUUUUUAUGCUGGACAUGGUCACUCUCUGUUACCAGGUGCUGGAGAUUUUGCUUGGGUCCACAGAUUACUUGACUUGGCGGACAUUUGGAACCUCGGCUGCAUCUUCGGUUUUCGCACGAUUUACACCUCUACAAUGUGGCUGGAUUCUUGGACUAAGAAUGAGAUGGACCUGGGUUUCUUGGUAUAUAAAUAUGCAGUGCGCUUUGGGUUGUCUUCAAAGAGCUUUUGUGACCUUAUCACUGAUAUGGGUUCUCAUGGGUGUACAGGGGUGGAAUUAUGAUUUCUUAUUUUGAAAGUUGAUGAUUAUACUUCUUGAAUCUCCAUAUAUUGCAGCUUUUUACCAUUUGGAAUUGUAUUAAUAAGGUCAUAUCUACUAUAUCAAGUUAAUCGAGAGAUGCUAGUAUGACAUGCAAGAUGUAAUAUAUACCGGUCAUGACAUUGUUGAUGCAUGUAAGAGCAGUAAGUUCCUUUAUUUGAAUCAAUAGAUUUAACUUUGACCUCAACUAGCAACCUUCCAUGGAUACAUGUCACCUCAACUAGCAAUUUGACUUAAAUGUCUACAUUGGUAUCAUUCUUUGUCACAACAUUUCUGAUACAAUCUGUUUACUUAGGUGCUGAUCUCCAAAAGGGAAUAGCCAGAGGCUCCUCUUUCCCCUGCAAUGGAUGCUGUAAUAAGAGUAUUCAAACGUGUCGCUGGAUUAUCUAAGUGUGCAGGCGAGGCAGAGUUGUCUGGUGCUGCUGGAGUUGCAUUCUGUUCCAUCCGUUUGUUGGUAGCAUCCACACAAGCGAUUAAUUUAAUUGGAAAACAAGGAUCAUUAAUCAAAUCUAUAGAGGAGAGUACCGCUGCUUCUGUGCGAGUGUUGUCUGGAGGGCCUUGGAUUACAAGUUGUGAAAUAUUUGGCUGCCAAAUAUGAAGAGCUAGGGUGUGAAGUGAAAUGGAUGGGCAAGCCUGAUAAGGUGAUCUAGUCACAUUGGUCUGGUUACCGCUGUUAACUUCACUUCAUGUGAACCUUUAGCUUAAUACAUAUUUCUCUUGCACUUGACUACUAAGAUGAAUUUUGAGCAAGGCUAGUUUUUGCUUUGAAGCAAAGUUUGGUGUUGAAAUUUUGUAGAUUGUUGCUCAUAUGUUUCUAGGCUAGCCUUUGUAGGUUUUGGGGUUUUCUUUUGUGACAUAUGUUCAAUCAUGAAUUUGGAAAGAAAAUUAAGGAGAGCCCCAAUUUUUGGAUGAUUAUGAAAUGCAUUUCUUUUCCUAGCAGCAGCUAGAUGCAAACUUAGCUCAUCACGCUUGUCAAAAUGAAGUGAAGUAUAUAAAAGCAUAACAAAACAGUAAUGCCAAGGAAAACGAAGUCACUUGAGAGAUUAGAAAUCAGUAUCAAAAUAAAAAUCGAUGUCUUAUGAUUAUUAAUGUAUCGAGUUGUGUCUGCAGAACCGAUGUACUCAAAAUCAGUGCACAUUGAUUUUACAAAACAAAAGCGAUGUCUACAAUGAAACAACACAUCGGUUCUAGAAAAAGCAAGCGAUGUACAUAAAACCAUUGAACAUCGUUUUGCUUAAAUGAAAACGAUGUGCUGUGUUAAAUGAAACAUCAGGCCUUAAAAAAAAACCGAUGACGCCUAAAGAUACAGACAUCGGUCCCAAGAAAAUAAUGUGCCAAGCUACAUGUAAAAAUGCCCACGAACAAACCAUACUCAUGGCAACUGAUGUCUACAAGUGUACUGGACAUCGCUUAUGGAAUAGAAAUCGAUGCAAAUGUUCACGUAGGUAUUGUUUGACAUAUACUUUAUUAAGCAUAAAAUGUGAAAAUAUGAAGAAUUAGACAUACCUAACAUACAAAAAUAUGAUGAUUAUAACGAUUAUACAUCGAUUUAUUUGUUAGAAUCGAUGUUGGUUGUUGUCUGGGACAUCGGUUGA